rnacentral:rRNA from 1 species
GACGAACGCUGGCGGCGUGCUUAACACAUGCAAGUCGAACGGAAAGGCCCGGCUUUUGUGGCGUGCUCGAGUGGCGAACGGGUGAGUAACACGUGAGUAACCUGCCCUUGACUUUGGGAUAACUUCAGGAAACUGGGGCUAAUACCGGAUAGGAGCUCCUGCUGCAAGGUGGGGGUUGGAAAGUUUCGGCGGUUGGGGCUGGACUCGCGGCUUAUCAGCUUGUUGGUGGGGUAGUGGCUGACCAAGGCUUUGACGGGUAGCCGGCCUGAGAGGGUGACCGGUCACAUUGGGACUGAGAUACGGCCCAGACUCCUACGGGAGGCAGCAGUGGGGAAUAUUGCACAAUGGGCGGAAGCCUGAUGCAGCAACGCCGCGUGCGGGAUGACGGCCUUCGGGUUGUAAACCGCUUUCGCCUGUGACGAAGCGUGAGUGACGGUAAUGGGUAAAGAAGCACCGGCUAACUACGUG